AGCGGCCUGUCCGUGCAAGGGAUGCGGGAAGGCUGGGACAUGUAACUGUGGGGCCAACUGUGCUUGUACGGAGGGUAGUUGCAAAUGCAAGCCGUGCUGCUCUUGCAAGGAUUGUGCGUGCAAGGUCUGCAAUGAGAAUUGCGCUUGCUCCAAAUGUGGGUGUGGAAGCAAGUGAGCGCAGGCGUGAGACAACAGGGACUGUAAGUGCGGACCUGAUUGCAAGUGUACGCACUGCACAUGUGGGAAGGCCUAUAUAUGCAUAUAUCUACCCAAGAUCAAUGAACAUGGAGAAAACCUAGCUUCGUCUAUUUAUUUGGGGGUUAUACGUUUCUGGAAGUAAUCAGUUAUGCCAAAUAAUUGCAGAGGACGUGUGUAGACUUUUCGUGCAGUCUGAUCACACACGAUAAACUAUAGGGGACAAGAAUAUUAAAGAUUGUAAUACAUAUGGGAAAUUAUAGCAUGAUGUAUUGUGGUGGUAACGAACUGUUUAAAUUGAUGAUAAUUUUCAGGUGCAAUAGAUAUCUAUAUUUCGCAUAGUGGCA